rnacentral:tRNA from 1 species
GGGCCCAUAGCUCAACUGGCGGAGCAACCGGCUCAUAACCGGACGGUUCCUGGUUCGAGUCCAGGUGGGCCCACCA